rnacentral:ncRNA from 1 species
UAGAAGUUUUAUUCUUGCUUUUCCAUUCAGUUUUUGGAUGUUUUAUAUGUGAGUUUUUGCGUGGAUUUCCUUGGUGCUUUCUAGAUGGGGCUUAAUGGGUUUGGUUAAUUAUUUUCAUUAGUUAUUAUUGGUUGAUCAAGUAUUUUUGUAUCUAGCGUUUCAUUUUAGUUUCGGUUAAAUUUUGUGCCAGCAGCCGCGGUUAUACUUUGGAGGCGUUUGAAUGUUUUUGGUUUGGUAGUUGUAUGUUUAUAGGUUGAUUUUCUUUUAUGUUUGUUUGUUGGGUGAAAUUUUUAUUUUCUUUGGGGAUUUAUUUGUUUUUUGGAAGCUAUUAAACUCUUAUUUUAGACUAGGAUUAGAUACCCUAUUAUUUUUGAGUGUUAAGUUUUGUGCCUGAGUAGUAUUAGUUAUGUUCUUGAAACUUAAAGAAUUUGGCGGUAUCUUAUUCCAUUCAGAGGAAUCUGUCUCGUUAUCGAUAGUCCGCGUUGGACCUUGCUUAAGACCAUUGGUUUGUAUACCGCCGUUUAUUGAUUAUCUUUUUAGGGGUUUAAUUUUCUUGUUUCUUUAUUUUGAUUUAUUUCAGGUCAAGGUGCAGCUUUUUUUGAGUGUUUUGAUGGAUUACAGUUUUAUUUGUUUUUGGAUUAUGUGUUUUAAUACGUGUAUGAAAUUGGAUUUGGUUGUAAUGUUUUGUAGAUUGUUUUCGUGAUAAUUGGUUCUGAGAUAUGUACACAUCGCCCGUCGCUCUCGCUUGUAAUGUUAGUGAGAUAAGUCGUAACAAAGUGGCUGUACCGGAAGGUGUGGCUGGAAUGAU